AGGAUGAACGCUGGCGGCGUGCCUAACACAUGCAAGUCGAGCGGAGUUUAACUGGAAGCACUUGUGCGACCGGAUAAACUUAGCGGCGGACGGGUGAGUAACACGUGAGCAACCUACCUAUCGCAGGGGAACAACAUUGGGAAACCAGUGCUAAUACCGCAUAACAUCUUUUGGGGGCAUCCCCGGAAGAUCAAAGGAUUUCGAUCCGGCGACAGAUGGGCUCGCGUCCGAUUAGCUAGUUGGUAAGGUAAAAGCUUACCAAGGCAACGAUCGGUAGCCGAACUGAGAGGUUGAUCGGCCACAUUGGGACUGAGACACGGCCCAGACUCCUACGGGAGGCAGCAGUGGGGAAUAUUGGGCAAUGGGGGAAACCCUGACCCAGCAACGCCGCGUGAAGGAAGAAGGCCUUCGGGUUGUAAACUUCUUUGAUCAGGGACGAAACAAAUGACGGUACCUGAAGAACAAGUCACGGCUAACUACGUGCCAGCAGCCGCGGU
rnacentral:rRNA from 1 species